AUGGUGUUGUCAAACACUCUAGGGAGCUCUGCUCAAAGUAAGAAGAGAAAGGCAGCCACUGUUACUACAACAAGUACUACCAUUCAGUCCAGAUCAAAAAAAUCGAAGAACAAGGCACCCAAUGAAACCCAGGAGCUGGUUAGGGUUAAUGCUAGUGCUAAGGUAUCUACAGAGCAUGGUGGAUCAGCUAGGGUUGAUCUACAUGCCAUAGUUCCCCAUUCCCAAGGAUCUACAACUGCAUCUGUCAAGGUCACUUCUGGAAGAGCAUUUGUCUUGGUCUCAGCUCAGGAACCAUCCAACAGCAAAGCAAAGAAGAUAUCUGGUGGGGCACUACUUCUAAUGCCCCCAUGGCAAAGUGACAAGCUGUAACGCCCCGAUU
rnacentral:lncRNA from 1 species